rnacentral:precursor_RNA from 15 species
UCAAAAGAACUUACUUAUGCUCUAGCAGGGUGAGGUAGUAGGUUGUGUGGUUUCAGGGUAGUGAUUUUGCCCCAAUCAGGAGAUAACUAUACAACCUACUGCCUUCCCUGGUGAGCAGCAUUACAGCGCUCCAGGGA